rnacentral:rRNA from 1 species
UGGGGAAUUUUGCACAAUGGGGGAAACCCUGAUGCAGCGACGCCGCGUGAUUUAGAAGGCCUUCGGGUUGUAAAAAUCUUUUUUACGGGAUGAAAAUGACAGUACCGUAAGAAUAAGGUCCGGCUAAAUAUGUGCCAGCAGCCGCGGUAAUACGUAUGGACCGAGCGUUGUCCGGAAUCAUUGGGCGUAAAGGGUACGUAGGCGGCCUAGUAAGUUAGAAGUGAAAUAAUAUAGCUCAACUAUAUAAAGCUUUUAAAACUGCUAGGCUUGAGAGAUGGAAGGGAAAGUGGAAUUCCUAGUGUAGCGGUGAAAUGCGCAGAUAUUAGGAAGAAUACCGGUGGCGAAGGCGACUUUCUGGUCAUCAUCUGACGCUGAGGUACGAAAGCGUGGGUAGCAAACAGG